rnacentral:rRNA from 1 species
GACGAACGCUGGCGGCGUGCUUAACACAUGCAAGUCGAGCGGUAAGGCCCUUUCGGGGGUACACGAGCAGCGAACGGGUGAGUAACACGUGGGUGACCUGCCCUCAGCUCUGGGAUAAGCCUGGGAAACCGGGUCUAAUACUGGAUAUGACUCCAUGACGCAUGUUGUGGGGUGGAAAGCCUUGUGCGGCUGAGGAUGGGCCCGCGGCCUAUCAGCUUGUUGGUGGGGUGAUGGCCUACCAAGGCGACGACGGGUAGCCGGCCUGAGAGGGCGACCGGCCACACUGGGACUGAGACACGGCCCAGACUCCUACGGGAGGCAGCAGUGGGGAAUCUUGCGCAAUGGGCGAAAGCCUGACGCAGCGACGCCGCGUGAGGGAUGACGGCCUCGGUUGGUAAC